CUGGAAUCAAAUUGAUACAAGACAAAUUAACAGGAGGAAAGCAUGCACAUUGUAUUAAUUUUUACAUUGUACAUGGGGACCCUCACAAGAGAAUAAAGACCCUAGGAAAUAGCCAAGGGAGAAAACUUACAGGUUUUAGACAAAGAACAAUAAAUUUGUGAAGAAAUGACAGGGCAAAGGGAUCUGAGAUGGGGGCAGUAAAUUCUAGGGAAGUCACCAGGAGAUAUAUGGGGUGGAGGGUUGUAGAGAUAGUGGAAUAUAAGGGUUUCUUCAAUAAGUUUAUUUGUACAGGUUCAUUGCAGCAGCAAUGCUCAGGGCCUGAUAUUUUCUCACCUUGGUAUGGGGAAGGCAUCCUCCUCAAAGGAUAUUUUAUGGUUUGCUACAUGUAGGAAAGUACAGGUCAGAUAACCCUUUCCACAACUACAGUUAUUUAAGUGCUUACAGUUCCUUAAAUAAUCAAUAUAUCAAAUCGGCAUAUUUUGGGGUAGAUCAUCCUUAACUCCUUGACUAACAGUUAACAAGUGCGCAUUUGCAACAAUUUUAGAGAUACGGUUUUUUUAUUUAAUAAGCAAUCUAAUGAGGAGUUUGCUCUUUGCCCCAUUUUACACAGGAGGAAACUGAAGCUUAAGCCACUCAGCUGAUAAGUGGAAGAGCUGGGAUUUCACUGCAGAUCUUUGACUGACCUACUAGAGUUACGUAGAUGGGAAUCUUAAGUAUUUGGGGUGAGGGAAGGAUAUCCCAACAAUAGAGCUUGAAAGGUAGUGCCUUUAAAAAUAACAGUCCCAAGAAUAUGCCCCACUAUUGUUUGAUGUAAUUCAAGCCUUAAAUAGCUUUAGUUUGAGGUUUUAGAUUCUGCAGAAGGAAUUGGUUUUUGUAUUUCAGUCCUUCUGAGCUUUGUUCAUUCUAUGGAGCUCUUGCAGUUAUAGAGAAAGCAUAGUGUUUAGGCAUCAGCAGACAUUUACUGGGCACUGUGUGCCAUGCCCUUUUAUUGGGGUUUUAGAAAUGACCUGGCAAGGUCAUUAGCUUAAAUGGACUGGGCAUUUGUAUACUAGGAUCCUAUUCCUAUCUGGGGCUACAAAUUAGAAAUGGCUAUGUGAUUAUGGAAAAACCAGUAGGAAGCCCUCUCAAACCCCCUUGCCAUUGGUGAAAUCAAAUAGUCAGGACCACAGUUUAAGAACUAGUAUGCUCAUGGUGUAUGGGCUGUGGUGCCAGGGAUUGCAAAACUGGCACUGUCCCCAGGAAAUCCAUACUGUGUGAUCGCUUGUCCAACAGAGGAAAAGCAGAGAAUCCUGAGAUGCCCUAGCUGGAAGGGCUGCGAGUUCACUGGGUUUUCUCCAUUGUAUGACAGAGGAGACAGGCCCAGAGAGGGGAAGGGACUUGCCUGAGAUUGUGCAGCAGGUUUGCAGCAGAACAGAGGCCAGAACCAGUCUUUUCUGUUUCCAGAUCAGGGCUUCUUCCCAGUACUGCACUAUGAACCCAAUUUUGAGCCUGUGCAUAAGCCUGUUGACGUCUCUAGAGGGUAGGCUCUGGAAGUAGGUAAACUAAGUGGUAGGCUUUGAAUAGUGGGCAUUGUUAAUCAAAGGGGAAGGAGUGAAGACAGCAAGACUAGCUAGUAAAAAUAAAAUCAAUUAUGUUAGCAACUUUAGGAGAAAGUCAAGUUCAUGAGACUUUAUAGAGACAAAAUAGGGAGAAGCAGCUAGCAGAACUGCAGUGUUUUGCAUUUUUGUGACCACAAAUGUUAGGUGAGCCUGGAACACAGUGAAAUUGACCAAGUAGGGUUAAGGUUUGAGAAGGGCUAAACUGUUGAAAUGCUAUUCCUGGUCACUCUGACAACUGGGUCUCUUUCCCAUGCUGAAGGCAUUAAAAUAAGAUAAAACAUGCAAAUGCACCAAAUUGGAAUCAAAGGUAUAGUCAUACAAAGUCUGGAUUGCUCCAUUUUAAGGAAAGGUCUAGAAGUUUAUGCCUCAGAAAGCAAAUGAAGACAUGAGGGGAAGAAUUUGAAUUACAUAUAUAAAGAUUAAAUUAGUCCUGCAAACAUGCAUACUCAUUUUUCUUCCCAUUGACUCUGGUCACACGCAUCGUAGAUAAUGAAUCACGUAGUUGCGUGCUCUAUUGUCUUUCCUGUUCUACUCAAUAAUACAGUUGCCAGUAAGAAAACAUGCUCAUUCUUCUAGGGAUCUAUCUAAAUUGGUCUGGGUUGUAGAAUAUAGAGCAACUUGCUGCUUAGAUGAGUGGUUCCCAAACUUUAACAUGCAUCAGGGGCACCUGGAAGGAAUCUGCAGCUGCUACAUAGCAGAUUUUGAGAUCACUCAACUGGGAGUCUCCACUCCCUAAAGCAGGAGCCCAAAGCAGAAAUCACAAUGUGGGGCCAGGGUCACUGGGCAUAUACUUUAUUCUAGGCCCAUCACCCAAACAGGUGUGUUAAAUUUGUCCCCCUUUCUCUUCUUUGAAGUUGUAACCAGGGUACUAUUUGUUUUGCGUUGUCUGCACUGUGUCUGGGGAAGUACGCCUUUUCGUGUGUGUGCUAGCACCUGCUGGGAUGCACAGUCACAGCUGUAGAGCUGGAAGGCCCUGAGAAACCACAGAGCCCUUCAUUCUGUUCUUUUUUGCAUAGCAGUGCCUCUUUUUAUAGAGGAUGUAUUAGGCUGUUCUCGCACUGCUAUAAAGAAAUACCUGAGACUGUGUGAUAUGGUUUGGGUCUGUGUCCCUGCCCAAAUCUCAUGUCAAAUUGUAACCCCCAGUGUUGGAAGUGGGGCCUGGUGGGAGGUGAUUAGAUCCUGGGGGCAGAUUUCCCCUUUGGUGUUCUUGUGGUAGUAAAUUAUUGUGAGAUCUGGUUGUUUAAAAGUGUAUGGCACCUCCCUGCCUCUCUCUUCCUUCUGCUCGGGCCAUGUAAGAAGUACCUGCUUCCCCUUUGCCUUCUGCCAUGAUUCUAAGUUUCCUGAGGCCUCUCCGGCCAUGCUUCCUGUACAGCCGUGGAACUGUGAGUGAAUUAAACUGUUUUUUUGUUUGUUUGUUUUUUUUUUUUUUUUUUUACAAAUUAGCCAGUCUCAGGUAUUUCUUUAUAGCAUUGUGAGAAACCACCCCCAUACUCUAAUCACCUCUCACCAGGUUCCACCUCCAACAUUGGGGAUUGCAUUUCAGUAUGAGAUUUGGGCAGGGAUACUAUAUAGAUAUCCAAGCUAUAUCAGAAGACAUGCUGCCUGAGCUCAAGCAAUCCUCCUGCCUCAGCCUCCUGAGUAGGUGGGGCUACAGGCAUGAACACCAUGCCUGGCUAACUUUUUUUUGUUUUUUGUAGAGGUAGGAUCUCAAAUUCCUGGCCUCAAGUGAUCCCCCUGCCUUGGCCUCCCAAAGUUCUGGGAUUAGAGGUGUGAACCACCAUGCCUGGCUUAAAGCAAUUUUCUGAUGACUGAUUAUGCUUUCCAGAUAUCUUACUCUUGAGAAAGGUGGUACCCCACAUUUGAAACACAAGCAUUUUGGCUCACUAGAAGGAUAUAUCCUCCAUUGUAAAUAAAAAGUCGGCCUCUUUAUGCAUGAGGCAAGCGUUGUUUCUGUUUAGAUUGGUCUGGAUCUAGUCAUCUUUAGUUGUUCAUCUCCAGGUGAACUGAGAAAAAUCCAGUGUUCUGAUUUGAGAAGCCAAGAAGACCUUGGCUGAUGGUAAAUUUUUAGCAGGGAAUCUGGUAGUGACCAGUUUGCUUAGCAGAGCUGAUGGCAUUCACAUCACCAUGUAUAGAACUUGGACCAGUGAAGGCACAGCCAGCUGGGAUUUGCUGUUACACAUAGCAGCUUAGGGAGCCAGAUUCUAGUGAUCACUUAUGUGUAUUCUUUCAUUCCUGAAAUGAACUCCACUUGGUCAUUGUGCUGAAAAGAGUUAUCAUAGCCAGCCAGACCCUGCUAUUUCUAGAAUGUUCUGUUUGCAAGGUUGGACCUUGGCUGGUGUCUGAAAACUUGGCAUUUGAAUCAUUCCCUAACUGAUAAGGCUGAUUGGGCUGAUUGACAAUGUGGUUUAUCCAGUACACCAGCUUUCCUUCUGAGGAAGGUAAUUCCUCUGAGAGUCUGGAAUUUUGGUAGUUGCCAGGCAGAAGAGGCCCAUGUGGCCAGCCACCAACAAAAAAACCUUGGGUGCUGAGUCUCUAACAGGCUUCCUGGCAGAAACAUUAUUGCAUUGAUUGUUGCUAGAGAAAGGAACUUGCUUGCAGUGUUCCUUACAGAAGGGAGAGAAUAUAGGAAGACUGUGCAUGGAUUUCUCCAUUCCACCCAUGUCUUUUUCCUCUGGUGAUUCUGUUGUGUCCUGAUAUGGUUUGGCUGUGUCCCCACCCAAAUUUUAUCUUGAAUUGUAACUCCCACAAUUCCUGUGUGUCAUGGGAGGAACCCAGUGGGAGGUGAUUGAAUUAUGGGGGCAGGUCUUUCCUGCACUGUUCUCAUGAUAGUGAAUGAGUCUCAUGAAAUCUGAUGGUUUUAAAAACAGGAGUUUCCCUGAACAAGCUCUCUUUGCCUGCUGCCAUCCAUGUAAGACGUGACUUAUUCCUCCUUGCCUUCCGCCAUGAUUGUGAGGCCUCCCCAGCCAUUCAGAACUGUAAGUUCAUUAAACUUCUUUUUCUUCCCAGUCUCAGGUGUGUCGUUAUCAGCAGCAUGAAAACAGACUAAUACAUGUCAUUUCCCUGUAAUGAUCCUUAACUGUGAGGACGAUUAUAUAUUGAAACCUGAGUCAUUCUAGAAAAUCAUUGAAUAUGUGGUGGUCGUGGGGACCUCCAAAAAAGUCGUGAUGUAUUAUUUUUAAUGUGCUACUGGAUUGUGUUUGCUAAUAUUUUAUUUUCUUUAUCAAUAUUCUUAACUUCAAUUCCCCUUUAUCAAACUUUUACUGAAAGCUUUUCCAACAUUCACAUUGUUCUAGAUAUCUUGACAUAUAGCAACUUCUGUACUCUUUUGAGGAAUUCAUGACAACCUCUUUUACAGGUGAGAAUACUGUUGCCCACAGAGGUGGAGUGACUCACACAAAGUUCUAUAGCUACUGACUGUAUAGCAGAGAGGGGAGCCAGGGCUGUCUGCCUCCCAGUUAGGGUGACCAUUCUGGUUUGCCCUGGAUUGAGGGGUUUUCUCCAGGCUGAGGGGUUUCCUGGGACAUGGGACUUUGAGUACUAAAACAGAGAUAGUCCUGGACAAAUCAGGACUGUUGGUCACCCUACUUAAGUCUACAGCUUUUAAAAAAAAUACUUUAUCCAAGUGGAUGCUUCUAUUUUCAUGAAAGAAAGCUUGUCCCCAUUAGGAUUUGGGCAUAUUUAGACACAAAUUGGAAGUGCCAGACACCUGGUCUUUCAAGGAGAACAAUUUCCAAAUUCCUUUUCUGAGUGCCAUACAUUCUGCAUCUCCCAACCUAGUUUGCUUUGUGCUUGGCUCUUUGCUCUUCUCCACCAAGCCCCCCCUCCCCCCGCUCUGCCCACCACAUUUUUCAACAUUACUGGUUUUAAUUUCCUUUACCAUCCCCGUUGCAAAAACUUCUUUCCUGAUUUAAUUACUAUUUCUCUUAAUUCAAUUUUAUGCUCUUGAUUGUCGUUAAACUCCUAAAGUUGUUUCUCCAAAGAAUUUAAUGGCUAGGCCUUGUGCUUAGAGAUUAAUUGUUGUCAUUUUGCUUUCAAGCACAGGUACUUUCUUACUUCUCUUCAGUUAUCUUUGGGAGAAAGGAAAGUGACCAUCCUUCUUCCCAGGGCUGCUCUGAGAACAAACACUGCCGGGGGCUGCCUUUUGAGAGAGAGAGAAAGCCAGACCUCUUAAAUUUGUCUUCCACCUUCUACUGACUCUAAUCUCAGCAUCUGUGAAUAGCCAGAGAACCUCUGGCUCCUCAGGUGGGCUCAGGCCAUGAACGGAUUGUAGGGAGGGCUCUAAAAACAGCAGCCCAGGCUUGAGAUAGGGUGGCUUUCUGCCAGGAGGGAUUUGCACAGUGAAGAGGGGGAACAAGGGCUGGCUCUAGCCUCAAACAUCCUGCCUGGCCAAGGUCCCCCAGAGGAACUAAGCCUGUGACUCAAAGGAAAAAGGAAUACUUUUGGUUAGAAUUUCCCUUCCCUGGAAUGUCCCUCUUGGGGAUAAACCUACUCCUGAGCAUCUUUCUCACGUUCACUGUACAGUAGCUAAAAGGCUUUGACCUUUGAGUCUUCUCCCUGCAGCCCACAAACUCUUGAUUUUCCCACCUCUGUCACCCCUGGAUCUCCUGUUUUCCUGUGCAGAUCCUUGACAAACAGUGGCCAGAGGUAGAGGAAUGAUUUCAGGCUGGAGCUCUGGCAAGCUCCCUUUACAAUCCAGUUGUGUAACUCUGCCCCUGUGUGGGUGAAGCAACCCUGAAAGGUAGAAAGCACAGGCUCUGGGGCGGGCCUUAGACCCUGCCUGGCACUUAAUGAGCCAUGUGAUCUCGUGGCUCAGCUGCCUCUGAACCUCAGUUCCCUGGUCUGUGGAUAAUCAGAUAUAGAACCGUAUAGAAGGGAUGCGGGGCUGACUUUUAUUUCAUGUGAGGGUUAAAUGAAAGAAUUGAAGUAAAGUAUUCAGCACAGUUUCCUGGCACAUAAGCCUUAAAUAACAAAUAUUAUCAACAUUGAGUAGCAUUUGGUCCUACAUCAGUCAUAGAAUCUUCAACUUUUAGGACUGAAAAGGAAACCGAAGUCCUGUAGGCCAACCUUCCCUCCCCACUCCCAAUUUGAUUAUGAAAUCCUCUAUUCAGCCUUUGACUUUGCUAGCAGACCUUUUGUGAUGGGGCAGCUCACAGCUCUUGGGGAAUCCCUGCCUUCUUUGGGCCAUUCUGUAAAUGUCAAGGAAGAGCUCUGUGUACAUGUGUGAUGUAUUUAAACUGCUUUCCAGUUGCAGGGAACAGGAAGCCUUUCCCUAUUCCCUAUUCAGGUACAAUAAUGUAGGCUGCUAGGGAACAAGAUCGAACAAUUGGAGAAGGCUUUUGUGGCUAACUCAGUGACGUACUUGCAGGUGAGGGUUCCAGACUCCAGAGUCUCCCUUUACCUAGUUCUUGGGAGUCUAGUGCAGCUGAAGACGAGGUACUGCGGAUGAAGAGGAAGACGAGGUACUGCGGAUGAAGAGAAACCCAGAUGAUCCAGGCACAUUUUAUAGACAAGGCCUCAACGACCCCAAAGGAACCUUUGAAAUCACCCUUUUCCUGGGUUCACGACGACUUGUAAACGAUACCAUCCAUCCCUGCUUAUUCAUAGUUAUUAAAUACCAGAAUAAAGAGAUUAGAGCUCAUGAGGUGCUUCGUCCCCAUCACUCGGGCUGCUUGGCUGCAUUUAUGAUGAGAAGGCUCUGGGUGUUUAAUAAAGUAUCUGAUAUGUCUAAUAAAAUCCUCCCAUGGCCCUGCUGAUGUUACUAUAAUAGCUUCAUGUCACAUGCUCUUGUGCUAUUGAGCCAGUACCAGAACAUAUUUUAAAUUCUUAUUAUGUCUAUUUAAUUUUUAUUUAAAGGAAAUUUUCAAGGUUUAAAGCAGGUACCGAGGUACCUAGGUGUGAAGACCUAGAAAUGUGCUGUAAUAUUUAUCAAAAUAGUAAUGGAGUGAUUUAAGGAUAGUAUAGGAAU
rnacentral:lncRNA from 1 species